rnacentral:lncRNA from 1 species
GGGGAAGGGUGCCAUCCGUUAUUGCUAGCAAUUACAAAUCUAGUUAUUAUUCUUAUUUUUCUUUUUCUAACCCCUUAAACGGUCCUACCAUUUUCUUGGAAGCGGUAGAGGAUGGAAACUUUAUAUUUUUUCUGGGUAUGGGUCUGCAUCAUGGGGGUUGCAGAACCCAAUGUCCAUGAUACCAGGGUGUCAUCUUGGCAUAAUUAGGGGGGCUCAAAGAUGGGUGGGGUCAAUUUUUUUUUACAUUUCAUGUAGAGUAGAUGGAAUUAUAUAUUCUCUUAUGAAUAUUUAGAGACACAUGUCUGCUUCAUCUUGGCACUAAUUUUAUUUCAGUAGGGGGUCUCCAUGGCAUAAUUUUAGGGGGGUGAAUUUUCAUGGAAUAUUCUAGAACAUCAAUGUUAAAUUUGUUCUAGAGACAUUUCAUGGUAUAUGAUGGUAUAUAAUUAUGGAGUGAACAAUUUGCAGCAGAAGUGACACUUUGGAAUUUUCAAAAUGGCCACCGUAACCAUGGAAACAGCAAAAAUAAGAAAAACAUCAAAAUGCUUCAAAUUAAAUGAAACUUAUAACAUAUGUUGUGAAGCUAAUGUAGACUUGACUUUUUAGUUUGGAAUUUCCAAAAUGGUCGCCGUUGCCAUGGAAACUUCAAAAAUGUGAAAAUUUUCAAAAUGCUUCAAAAUUGAUGAAACUUAAACAAAUGUUGCCUACCAUAUGUAGACAUUACUUUUGACUUUAAAAUUUCUAAAAUGGCCGCCGUAACCAUGGAAACGGCAAAAAU